rnacentral:misc_RNA from 1 species
UGCAUACCCAGUAGCUCCAUAAACCCUAAAGAGCUCCUAUCUCCUUCACAGAAAUCAAAUAAACCUUGGAGAGGAUAACUGCUCUGAAUAUGAUCAGGAAAUGUUGUCGAUCCAACAAAAUUCUCAAUCUUUACCACUUCUUUCCCUUCCAUAGCAGUAUCAAAGCAGCAAACACUUCAUCAAUGUACACCUACAGAUAUAGUAGUAGAAACAUAGAGAGAUAGAGUGUGGGGUUUGCAUACGGCUCUGGAGAAGAAAGGGAG